rnacentral:misc_RNA from 1 species
GUAGGUGAACCUGCGGAAGGAUCAUUACCGAGUCUAGGGGGCCGUUGGCCCCCGAGCCUCCAACCCUUGACUGAAACUACCGCGUUGCUUUGGCGGGCCUGUCCUGAAAACGGGCUGCCGGAGGUGUCACUGCCUCUGGCCUGCGCCCGCCAGUAGCCACAACCAACCCUUCUUCAACCGUGACGUCUGAGUGUAAAUACAAAAUAUAUAUAAAACUUUCAACAACGGAUCUCUUGGUUCUGGCAUCGAU